rnacentral:rRNA from 1 species
AUUGAACGCUGGCGGCAUGCCUUACACAUGCAAGUCGAACGGCAGCAUAGAGAGCUUGCUCUCUGAUGGCGAGUGGCGAACGGGUGAGUAAAGCAUCGGAACGUACCGUGUAGUGGGGGAUAACGUAGCGGAAGUUACGCUAAUACCGCAUACGCACUGAGGUGGAAAGCAGGGGAACGUAAGACCUUGCGCUAUACGAGCGGCCGAUGUCAGAUUAGCUAGUUGGUAGGGAAAAGGCCUAACAAGGCGACGAUCUGUAGCGGGUCUGAGAGGAUGAUCCGCCACACUGGGACUGAGACACGGCCCAGACUCCUACGGGAGGCAGCAGUGGGGAAUUUUGGACAAUGGGGGCAACCCUGAUCCAGCCAUGCCGCGUGAGUGAAGAAGGCCUUCGGGUUGUAAAGCUCUUUCGGCCGGGAAGAAAUCGCACAGGCUAAUACCCUGUGUGGAUGACGGUACCGGCAUAAGAAGCACCGGCUAACUACGUGCCAGCAGCCGCCGUAA